rnacentral:miRNA from 1 species
AAGAGCCGCUGAGUGGGGAGGAGAGAGGGACAGAGAGCCUGCUUCUUUAAAGGAGCAAAGUGGGAGAGGAGAGGAGCCGCUUACACGGUUGGUUCCUUUAAAGCAAGCAGGCUCUCUGUCCUCUCUCCUCCCCACUCAGCUCGCUACA